GACGAACGCUGGCGGCGUGCCUAAUACAUGCAAGUCGAACGCUGAAGGAGGAGCUUGCUUCUCUGGAUGAGUUGCGAACGGGUGAGUAACGCGUAGGUAACCUGCCUGGUAGCGGGGGAUAACUAUUGGAAACGAUAGCUAAUACCGCAUAAGAGUAGAUGUUGCAUGACAUUUGCUUAAAAGUUGCAAUUGCAUCACUACCAGAUGGACCUGCGUUGUAUUAGCUAGUUGGUGGGGUAACGGCUCACCAAGGCGACGAUACAUAGCCGACCGGAGAGGGUGAUCGGCCACACUGGGACUGAGACACGGCCCAGACUCCUACGGGAGGCAGCAGUAGGGAAUCUUCGGCAAUGGACGGAAGUCUGACCGAGCAACGCCGCGUGAGUGAAGAAGGUUUUCGGAUCGUAAAGCUCUGUUGUAAGGGAAGAACGAGUGUGAGAGUGGAAAGUUCACACUGUGACGGUAUCUGACCAGAAAGGGACGGCUAACUACGUG
rnacentral:rRNA from 1 species